rnacentral:rRNA from 1 species
UGUAAUGACUCUCGGCAACGGAUAUCUCGGCUCUCGCAUCGAUGAAGAACGUAGCGAAAUGCGAUACCUGGUGUGAAUUGCAGAAUCCCGUGAACCAUCGAGUCUUUGAACGCAAGUUGCGCCCGAAGCCGUUAGGCUGACGGCACGCCUGCCUGGGCGUCACGC